AAACGUCGUAUGUACCGACAAGAAAAGAAGGCUCAGACUCUGAAUAUUGUUAGUGGUCAACUAGCACCUGAGGCACAUGCUUCGUUAGGAUCCAAGGAAUGUACCCCUUUGAGCAACAUAACCAACACACACACAAAUGAUGUACAGGGGACUCCACGACUACUGUUCGACAUUCCGAAGAUGCUAAUGUUGGGCGAAAAAGGAGUGCCCAUAAUUGGUAUGCUCGACUAACAGACGAACAAAGAGCAGAACACUUACAUAAGCUGCGGUUGGCUCGCCUGCAAAAAAAGCUGUAGCUGACAGUGUUACUGUCGAAUUACCUCACAGCUCGUACUCGCGAUCUUCACCUGGUUCAGCCAUUACGGUACAAAUCUCCGAGGGUACUUGUCUUCCCAUGGCACGACACAAAGCGACAACUGCAACCGGCGCUGCGAGUGUCAAACAGCGCCAACCAUCUGCCGAGGAAGCGUCACCUGGUCAGAGCGCCAACAUUUGUUUUCAGUUCAUACUUGCAAUGUCACAUAAAUUGUGGACUGAAGCUGGAAUGCUUAUCAUCCCACAAGUUUCUACAUCAACUGUAGGUAUCACACAUUAUGGAUUGGCACAUUCCAGUAUCACCCGUCUGGGACACACGCUGGUUGGAGAGCCAAAGACAAAGGAGGACGAUUCUGAUGAUUGGUUGCACAGGAAUCCAACUUAGUACGGGGAGCGAGGUCGACUGAACACAAUAGUAACGUCUUACGGACUGGAUCAAGGUCGGCUGAACACAAUAGUAACGUCUUACAGGCAGGAGGAGAACACGGACAACAUGACUUUGUGCCCACGAGUUUUAUCUUCAGUCCGUCCAUUGAACCACAAGAUUCAACUGCCCGCUACGAGAAGGAGCGCAUUCGUAAGAGAACGAAAUACUCGGAAAUGAGCACGGACCAGAGAGAUGCUUUAUUAUAUCGGGUUCGCGAGUACAAGAAAAGAAAGUGGACGACUUGUGCCUCAUCCGACCAGUACGACCAUGCUGGAGUCAGCAACAUUGACGAGGACUCUGAUGUAGCCGGAAUUUUCGAGUCAAUGAGACCGGAUGCUCAAAUUGAAG